rnacentral:rRNA from 1 species
UACGGAGGGUCCAAGCGUUAUCCGGAAUCGUUGGGUUUAAAGGGUCCGUAGGCGGUUUUGUAAGUCAGUGGUGAAAGCCCAUCGCUCAACGGUGGAACGGCCAUUGAUACUGCAAGACUUGAAUUAUUGUGAAGUAACUAGAAUAUGUAGUGUAGCGGUGAAAUGCUUAGAGAUUACAUGGAAUACCAAUUGCGAAGGCAGGUUACUAACAAUAUAUUGACGCUGAUGGACGAAAGCGUGGGUAGCGAACAGG